rnacentral:rRNA from 1 species
AUUGAACGCUGGCGGCAGGCCUAACACAUGCAAGUCGAACGAGUGGCGGACGGGUGAGUAAUGUCUGGGAAACUGCCUGAUGGAGGGGGAUAACUACUGGAAACGGUAGCUAAUACCGCAUACCAUCGGAUGUGCCCAGAUGGGAUUAGCUAGUAGGGGGGGUAACGGCUCACCUAGGAGACGAGCCCUAGCUGGUCUGAGAGGAUGACCCGCCCCACUGUAACUGAGACACGGUCCAGACUCCUCCGUGAGGCAGCAGUGGUGAAUAUUGCACAAUGGGCGCAAGCCUGUUGCAGCCAUGCCGCGUGUAUGAAGAAGGCCUUCGGGUUGUAAAGUACGUUCAGCGGGGAGUCGUUACCCGCAGAAGAAGCACCGGCUAAGUCCGUGCCAGCAGCCGCGGUAAUAC